rnacentral:hammerhead_ribozyme from 1 species
AUCCAGCUAACGAGUCCCUAAUAGGACGAAAUGCGCAUCCUGGAU